GACGAACGCUGGCGGCGUGCUUAACACAUGCAAGUCGAACGGAAAGGCCCUGCUUGCAGGGUACUCGAGUGGCGAACGGGUGAGUAACACGUGGGUGAUCUGCCCUGCACUUCGGGAUAAGCCUGGGAAACUGGGUCUAAUACCGGAUAGGAGCCAUUUUUAGUGUGAUGGUUGGAAAGUUUUUUCGGUGUAGGAUGAGCUCGCGGGCUAUCAGCUUGUUGGUGGGGUAAUGGCCUACCAAGGCGGCGACGGGUAGCCGGCCUGAGAGGGUGGACGGCCACACUGGGACUGAGAUACGGCCCCGACUCCUACGGGAGGCAGCAGUGGGGAAUAUUGCACAAUGGGCGCCAGCCUGAUGCAGCGACGCCGCGUGGGGGAUGACGGCCUUCGGGUUGUAAACUCCUUUCGCUAGGGACGAAGCUUUUUGUGACGGUACCUAGAUAAGAAGCACCGGCUAACUACGUG
rnacentral:rRNA from 1 species